rnacentral:rRNA from 1 species
UACAGAGGUCCCAAGCGUUAGGCGGAAUCACUGGGCUUAAAGCGCGUGUAGGCGGAUCCGUAAGUGCCUUGUGAAAUCCCACGGCUUAACCGUGGAACUGCUGGGCAUACUGCGGGUCUGAGCCAUCUAGGGGCCUGCGGGAACAAGCGGUGGAGCGGUGAAAUGCGUAGAUAUCGCUUGGAACGCCAACGGAGAAAUCAGCAGGCUGGGGGAUGUGCUGACGCUGAGACGCGAAAGCCAGGGGAGCAAACGGG